rnacentral:rRNA from 1 species
CCUACGGGUGGCUGCAGUGAGGAAUAUUGGUCAAUGGGCGGAAGCCUGAACCAGCCAAGUAGCGUGCAGGAUGACGGCCCUACGGGUUGUAAACUGCUUUUAUACGGGAAUAACGCGCCUUACGUGUAGGGCUUUGCAUGUACCGUAUGAAUAAGGACCGGCUAAUUCCGUGCCAGCAGCCGCGGUCAUACGGAGGGUCCGGGCGUUAUCCGGGUUUCUUGGGUGUAAAGGGAGCGUAGGCCGCAUGUCAAGCGUGCUGUGAAAUGUCCGGGCGCAACCCGGGCCUUGCAGCGCGAACUGGCGUGCUUGAGUCCGCGGAAAGCAGGCGGAAUUCGUCGUGUAGCGGUGAAAUGCUUAGAUAUGACGAAGAACCCCGAUUGCGAAGGCAGCUUGCUGCAGCGGAACUGACGCUGAUGCUCGAAAGCGCGGGUAUCGAACAGGAUUAGAUACCCCUGUAGUC